rnacentral:rRNA from 1 species
UACAGAGGGUGCGAGCGUUGUCCGGAAUCACUGGGCGUAAAGGGCGCGUAGGCGGCCUUCUAAGUCGAACGUGAAAUCCCCGGGCUCAACCCGGGAACUGCGUCCGAUACUGGAAGGCUUGAAUCCGGGAGAGGGAUGCGGAAUUCCAGGUGUAGCGGUGAAAUGCGUAGAUAUCUGGAGGAACACCGGUGGCGAAGGCGGCAUCCUGGACCGGCAUUGACGCUGAGGCGCGAAAGCCAGGGGAGCAAACGGG